GAGACUUUUUUCCAACUAUCCAUUCAGAUGGCCAAUGGAUACAUGAAAAAAUGCUCAGCAUCAGUAAUCAUUAGGGAAAUACAAAUCAAAACCACAUAUUACCUCACACCUGUCAGAGUAGCUAGAAUCAAGAAGACAAGACGGGUGCCUGUGUGGUUCAGUCAGUUGAGUGCCUGACUCUUGAUUUCAGCUCAGGUCAUGAUUUCAGGGUCCUGAGACUGAGCCCUGUGUCAGGCUCUACACAUGGAGUCUUCCUGAGAUCUGUCUUCCUCUGCCACUCCACCCACUCAGGUGCUCUCUCUCUCUGUCUGUCUCUCUCUCUAAUUAAAAAAAGGAAACAGAAUCUUAAAAAAAAAAAAAAAGAAAAAGAAAAAGACAAGAAAUAAUAAGUAUUGGCAAGGAUGUGGAGAUAAAGGAACCGCUGUGCACUGUUGUUGGUGGGAAGGUAAAUUGGUACAUUCACUGUGGAAAAUGGUAUGAAGGUGUCUCAUAAAAUUAAAACAGAAAUACCAUAUGAUCCAUUAAUUUCACUUUUAGAUAUUUACCCAAAGAAAACAAAAACAUUAAUUUGAAAAGAUAUAUGCACCCUUGUGUUUAUUGAGCAUUAUUUACAACAAUUAAGAGAUGGAAACAACCCAAUGUUCAUCUGUAGAUGAAUGGAGAUAGAAGAUGUGGCAUAUACACACAAUAGGAUAUUACUCAGUCAUGAAAAAGAAUGAAAUCUUUCCUUUUGUGACAAUAUAGACGGAUCCAUAGGGUGUUAUACUUAGUGAUGUAAGUCAGACAGAGAAAGAUAAAUACCAUAUGAUUUCACUUAUAUGUAAAAUCUAAAAAACAAAACAAAUGAACAAAUAAACAAAUGAAUAGAAACAGACUUAUAUAGAGAGAAAAUAAACUGGUGGUUGCCAGAGGGGAGGGGAGUAGGAGGAUGGGAAAAAGAGGCGAAGGGGAUUGAGAGGUACAUACUUUCUGUUAUAAAAUAAAUAAAUUAUGGAGAUUAAAAACACAGCAUAGGAAUAUGGUCAAUAAUAUUGUAACAAUGUUGUAUGAUGACAGAUGGUGACUAUACUUGUGCUGAGUAUUGAGUAAUACGUAGAAUUAUCAAACUACUAUAUUGUUACCUGAAACUAAUGUAACAUUGUAUGUCAACUAAACUUCAAUAAUAAAUAUAUUUUAAAGGGAAAGAAAUUUAAAACAAACAAACAAACAAAAAAAGAACACUGGGCCAAUCCACCUACAUCAUAGGACAGAUGAGGUAACACAGGUCCCAGAAGUCAGAAGACUUAACCAGAAUUAACACAGCUUUGGCUACCAUUUUUGCUCAAAUGCAAAUGAGCCACUUUCAGUUACAGUAAAUACGCAAGAUACUCUAUAACUUUUAAGUCAAAUUCUCAGGAUAAUAAAAAAUUUGGAUGCAUAUCAGACAGAAUUAAUCAAUUUCAAAUAUGGUGCAUUUAUCCAAACUCUUUUCAGAACAAAUAUUCUGAAUAAUGUUCUGUAUAACAUUUCGCUAAGGCAUGAUUAUGGAUGCAGUACCAAUAUUGCAAAGUCUACAGAGGAGGUUCAGUAUUCAAGAUCUUAAGCCUCAAUGUUCUUUACACUUUGUUCUUUACAGGGUGGAUUUGGCAAAAUUAUAAUAUAAAGCAAUGUAUUCCACAAACACAGAUGAUUCAUAACCUAUUAAGUUAACAGUGCUAUAAGACAAAUAUUUAAUUUAAUGUCCAGCAUUUUAACUUUGCAUGGAGUUGUUUAAUGUGUUUACUUUUCUUUGGAAGGGCAAGAAAUUCACUUAAUAAUUGUGACUCAAGGUGAAAAUCUUGUGAGAAAAGGCGAUGCAUAUUUAAAAAGCUAUAUAAGCCAACACGAGAAAAGAUUUAUAAACAUGUACAUGCUUCCAUUGAAAUCACCAGAAUCUGUGACAUAUUCUAGGUGGCAGAAUUCUGUGACAUAUUCUAGCUGGUAAAUUAAAUAAUUUUUUUAUUAUUGCUUCUAGUUUUGAAAUUCUGUUAAAACUGAUUAAUUGAUACAUCUUCUAAGGAAAGUGAUUUGCUUCUUUAUAGAGAAUAACAUCCAAGUUAUAGAGUGAAGUAUUUUGUUCAGAGGUGGUUAACAUAUCAAAUUACAAGAGAUUCCCCAAAGAGUAUAACUCUCAAUUAUUUUUCCUAGGCUCAAGGACAUUUCAAAAGACUGCGAGGUCCCGAGUUAUUCCUCGGAUUUUUUCAGAGCUUAGACAAAUUUUGACUUCAGGACUAGUCACUAAAUUCAAUCUUUAAAGGCAAAGACACAUCAAAGGGCAGCUUGAGAACCUUGAGGAGAGGGGGAAUUAUACUCACAGGGCCUGAGAAAGUAUCCCUUAGUUACUCAGGUCUUUUCCCCAGACCAGCAACUGAAUCAUCUUCUAUUCUCACUUUGUACCUCCUACAGUCUUCAACUUUUGAGAUCGUCUCAGAAAAACUAAGAAAAAUCCCAAAUGACUCUAUCCUGAGGUGAUUCUUCACCAUCUGCUCAAAUAUCAGCCCUGAAAUUUAAAAAGAGAAGAGCGGUGCUGAGUUGUUCUUCCAUUUCUAAAAGGAUCAGCAUCUCUUUCUCCUUUUUUUCCCUCCCAACUUAAUACCUUGUCUUUUGCCUGUUCUGUGAAGGCUCAGCAUUUUGAGGUAGAUAAUAAAGCCAUGAUAAUUUAUGAAUAAAGAAAUGACUAUAUUGUGGUCUGUGUGCCAAUGAAAGAAAGGGAUUUCCAGAGAGAGAUGAGUCACAGAUCAGAGAAACUAAAUAAAAUAAAUUAACGUAUCUUAGAAUACAGGCCAAGAAAGAGAUAUAUGUCUUGGUAUGUCCCAUUCCCUCUCCUCUGCCUUUUUUUUUAAGUUAGGGAGACAUUAUUUUCAUAAUCCCAGUCAGCGAGCAGGAGUUUAUCAUCAGAUUUUUUUUUUACUAAGUUUUUGUAAUGGUUACGCUCAACUGAAAGUGACAAAACCUCUAGUCCAAGGAGUUUAACCAAAAAAAGAAAGAAAAAAAGAAAGAAAGAAAGUGACCAGGAGGUAACCUAUUGGUUUAAAUGACUGGGAACUCCAAAAGUAUGCAUAUGUUUAGGCACAGCAGGAUCAAGGCAUUUGAGCAAAGUUGUCAAAGCUCUUUGUCCUUUUUUUAUAUCUUAGCUUGACAUGUCUUUGCGUGUCUUCAACUGUUUUCUCAGUUUCCUCUUUUGCAGCCCACAUCCUAGAAAGAUGAUUAUUUUCAAACCGAAGCCUUUAUCCACAGAGACUGAAAUCUUAAAGGAAGAAAUACUCUCUCACUCAAGAAAAAUUGUGACUGGUUUUGCUCAUGGCUAUAUUAUUGCUACAGAGGGAAAACAGGCAUCAUUUGCAGG